CAGUUGCUGCAAAUCACAAGUGGGGAGAAGGCUGCUUUUUUAAAAAGCUCAUGUUCUGCUUAUAGGCUUCCCAUGGCCUUCUGAUUGGCCACUCUGAUGCUGACCUUGAUCCAUCAGGGAUCUGCUUAUGUUCCUAGACCCAGUCUCUCUCCUACAUACUCUCUCCGCCUCUGGAUACCUUGGCUGUUGUUUGUGCUGGGCUGGCUGCUGCUCAGCCUUUCAUUUUUAGUCAUUGCCUUCCUUUUCUUCUCUAUCUUGCCCAUUGACUUUUCAGGAUAAUUUGUGGAAUUUGUCGCCACAAGAUGUGGUUGCUGCCUCUACCUUUGACAGCUUUAAGAGAGAAUUAGACAAAUACACGGCCCGUCUAUCAGCUCAGCAAGUAGUCAGGAUGGCUGCAUGUACCUUCUGGUUUCUGCAGCCUAUGUUUCUAAACACCACUUGCUAGGGAACAUGCCCUGCUCGUGGGCUUUCCACUUGUAUCUAAAUGGCAGUGGUCACUGUGGGAAAGAGGAUGUUGGACUCAAUGGGCCUUUGGCCCAUCGCAGCAGUGCUCUUCUUUCUUCUGCUUUUGCUUCCAUAAGCUUCUUUCUUAUGCUUUUUUCUUCCCUCAGCCAUCUCCAACAGUCACAACUGCCGUUCUCUUUAAAAUGGUUCAAAAUUCCUCCUCUGUGUCUGGCGUGCCCUCCUCUAAGUCAGGGAAAAGUUCCUGUUGUGUCAUCACCCUGACCAGGGCAUUGCAACUGGCCUCAAGCGCAUGAACUGGUGCUGUGUUUUUACCAUGGUUUUGCUGUUGAAGUGUAAAGCCCUGAACAGCCUGGGAUCUGCUUCCCUGUGAGACCUCCUUUUCCAAGAUCAUCAUGUUCAAGCCUUUAGGUCAUCAAGCGAGGUCCUCUUAUUCACCAUAUAAGCGGCAAACUAAAAAGAACAAAGCUCAAGGAAUACAACAUAUGUUUUCCAUUUCCCAUGCAAAACUAUUUCUCCAUCUGAUUUAUUACCCACCUGAACAAAAUUAUGUUUUUAUUCCAUGUUUAUUUCAAUUUCCUCAGCAUCCCCCAUGUCUGGGGUGGGUAUGGGACAAGGAAUGUAAACUGCCAAUGAUGUUGGACAAAGAAAUCAGCUUUGAAAUACAAAUUUACAGCAAAUCCAGGUUCUCUCCAUGCAUACAAAUGAAAAAUGCUGCUGCAAUAAUUUUUAAACUAGCAAAUGCAAGGUAAUCCUGGGAAGAGUGGUCUUCAAUCUCCUCCAGACAUCUUUUACUGAA